rnacentral:rRNA from 1 species
ACUAACAAUUGGCGAGCCGCCGGGGUAGCUCGGGGUGUGGGGUUGUUAAUCGAGAUUAGUGGGGCUAAGGCGUACGCUGGCAGUGAGGUAAGACAGAUGUGAAAUCCCCGUGCGCAACCUGGGAACUGCGUGUGUGACUGAAUCACUCGAGUACGGCAGAGGGAGGUGGAAUUCCACGUGUAGCAGUGAAAUGCGUAGAGAUGUGGAGGAACACCGAUGGCGAAGGCAGCCUCCUGGGCCAGUACUGACGCUCAUGAACGAAAGCGUGGGGAGCAAACAGGAUUAGAUACCCCAGUAGUC